UCCGCCUCAACCAAGUGGGAUUA
rnacentral:rRNA from 1 species